rnacentral:rRNA from 1 species
CAGUCGCCGCGGGAAUACAGAGGGUGCGAGCGUUAAUCGGAUUUACUGGGCGUAAAGCGUGCGUAGGCGGCUUCUUAAGUCGGAUGUGAAAUCCCUGAGCUUAACUUAGGAAUUGCAUUCGAUACUGGGAAGCUAGAGUAUGGGAGAGGAUGGUAGAAUUCCAGGUGUAGCGGUGAAAUGCGUAGAGAUCUGGAGGAAUACCGAUGGCGAAGGCAGCCAUCUGGCCUAAUACUGACGCUGAGGUACGAAAGCAUGGGGAGCAAACAGGAUUAGAUACCCCGUAGUCCCUGUCUCUUAUACA